rnacentral:rRNA from 1 species
AACGAACGCUGGCGGCAGGCCUAACACAUGCAAGUCGAGCGCGCCCUUCGGGGUGAGCGGCGGACCGGUGAGUAACGCGUGGGAACGUGCCCUUUUCUACGGAAUAGCCUCGGGAAACUGAGAGUAAUACCGUAUACGCCCUUUGGGGGAAAGAUUUAUCGGAAAAGGAUCGGCCCGCGUUGGAUUAGGUAGUUGGUGGGGUAAUGGCCUACCAAGCCGACGAUCCAUAGCUGGUUUGAGAGGAUGAUCAGCCACACUGGGACUGAGACACGGCCCAGACUCCUACGGGAGGCAGCAGUGGGGAAUCUUAGACAAUGGGGGCAACCCUGAUCUAGCCAUGCCGCGUGAGUGAUGAAGGCCUUAGGGUUGUAAAGCUCUUUCAGCUGGGAAGAUAAUGACGGUACCAGCAGAAGAAGCCCCGGCUAACUCCGUG